GAGUUUGAUCUUGGCUCAGAUUGAACGCUGGCGGCAGGCUUAACACAUGCAAGUCGAGCGGGGGAGAUUGCUUCGGUAAUUGACCUAGCGGCGGACGGGUGAGUAAUACUUAGGAAUCUGCCUAUUAAUGGGGGACAACAGUCUCGAAAGGGAUGCUAAUACCGCAUACGCCCUACGGGGAAAGCAGGGGAUCGACUUGUGACCUUGCGUUAAUAGAUGAGCCUAAGUCGGAUUAGCUAGUUGGUGGGGUAAAGGGCCUACCAAGGCGACGAUCUGUAGCGGGUCUGAGAGGAUGAUCCGCCACACUGGGACUGAGACACGGCCCAGACUCCUACGGGAGGCAGCAGUGGGGAAUAUUGGACAAUGGGGGGAAACCCUGAUCCAGCCAUGCCGCGUGUGUGAAGAAGGCCUUAUGGUUGUAAAAGCACUUUAAGCGAGGAGGAGGCUCCUGUA
rnacentral:rRNA from 1 species